rnacentral:rRNA from 1 species
GAUGAACGCUGGCGGCGUGCUUAACACAUGCAAGUAGAACGAAGCAUUUAGAACAGAUUAUUUCGGUAUGAAGUUCUUUAUGACUGAGUGGCGGACGGGUGAGUAACGCGUGGGUAACCUGCCUUGUACUGGGGGAUAGCAGCUGGAAACGGCUGGUAAUACCGCAUAAGCGCACACUGCUGCAUGACAAGGUGUGAAAAACUCCGGUGGUAUAAGUUGGACCCGUGUCUGAUUAGCUAGUUGGUGAGAUAACAGCCCACCAAGUCGACGAUCAGUAGCCGACUUGAGAGGGUGACCGGCCACAUUGGGACUGAGACACGGCCCAGACUCCUACGGGAGGCAGCAGUGGGGAAUAUUGCACAAUGGAGGAAACUCUGAUGCAGCGACGCCGCGUGAGUGAAGAAGUAAUUCGUUAUGUAAAGCUCUAUCAGCAGGGAAGAUAGUGACGGUACCUGACUAAGAAGCUCCGGCUAAAUACGUGCCAGCCGCCGCGGUAA